rnacentral:rRNA from 1 species
UCCAGACUCCUACGGGAGGCAGCAGUGGGGGAUAUUGCACAAUGGGGGGAACCCUGAUGCAGCGACGCCGCGUGGGUGAAGGAGCGUUUCGGCGCGUAAAGCCCUCUCGGCAGGGAAGAAGGAGGACGGUACCUGACUAAGAAGCCCCGGCUAACUACGUGCCAGCAGCCGCGGUAAUACGUAGGGGGCAAGCGUUAUCCGGAUUUACUGGGUGUAAAGGGGGCGCAGACGGCAGCGCAAGCCAGGAGUGAAAGCCCGGGGCCCAACCCCGGGACUGCUCUUGGAACUGCGCGGCUGGAGUGCAGGAGGGGCAGGCGGAAUUCCUGGUGUAGCGGUGAAAUGCGUAGAUAUCAGGAGGAACACCGGUGGCGAAGGCGGCCUGCUGGACUGCGACUGACGUUGAGGCCCGAAAGCGUGGGGAGCAAACAGGAUUAGAUACCCGGGUACA